CUCUUUUUCCCCCUUCUCUCUCUUUCUCUGUGUGUGUGUAUGUCUCUCUCUCUCUUUCUGUGUGUGUGUGUGUGUGUGUGUGUGUGUGUGUGUGUGUGUGUGUGUGUGUGUGUGUUUGAGUAUUCCAGUGUGUUGGGAGAAGGUGACGCGGUGAAAUAAGAACCGUGACACAAUGGAUGCAUUGGGGGAACUUGUGUGAGACACUGGCUUUUUCUCUGCACUCUGUGGACUAUCACUGUGAGAUUUCAGUAGGCCCAUUUAUAAAGAAGCUGCUGACUCAUGGGGUAGUCAGACUGAAAGGGACCUAUAACAGAGGGUGAGUCAAGAGUGAGGAAGCAAUUGGAACAGGUGGUGAUAUGGGCAGCAUGUGGCUGGCAGAAAUGAUGAGACAUUGUUGAGUUCUUUCACUGUUUAGGUGAUAACCAGUGAGAAUGCCUAUGGAUGUGGGGUAUGAAAGAGAGAAGGAAUGCUAAGUAACUUCAAGGCUUAGUGGGCAACAAUCAGAACAAUUGGAGGAACGUAUUGCUGCAGAAAGGGGAUUAGGUUCUCAUUGGGUGUGUCACCUUUCUGACUUCAGUUGAGAUAGCUGGGAGACAGGAGUAAUUCAUAGGACUCAGUUGUAGACACUCUGUCUGCAUAGUCCUAAUAUAAACCUGUGACACUAGAUGUGUUCAUUGAAUGCACUGUUUAAGAUAAAAAGCAGAAUACAUUUAAAGCAUAACAUCUAAACUACUUGAGCAUUAAAAGGUCUUGGGACAAAUCAGAACAAAUAGGAAGAAAAAAACCAAAACAAAUGGAAAUAAAGAACCUGUAUUGUAUAGUUCUUCAAACUCUGCCACUGCAUUGCUGUUACUACAAUAUAAAGUAGGACCUGAGGUUUGGCCAUUGCUUGCCUCUGUGGUCUCUGGAGACUGUGGUGAUACUGUGGUUAUAGGGUUCUGUCAUGUAGGAAGGAGCUCCUUGAAACAUUGAAAACAUGUUCCCUACAGGUUGCUUCAGCUACACAGAUCAUGCCUAUUUGUAAGUAUAAUUUGUGAAAUGCUUUAGUGACUUAGAAAACACAGCUGGUUUUACUCUAUCACCUCAGAGGAGCACCAUUCUAGCAGCUGAACAAAGUUGUAGUAUUUGCUAAUGGAAGCCCUGUUCACAAAGACAGUUUCUAGAGUGGAAUCAAAAGAAAGAAAAGGGAAGAACCAAACAUAUGCACAAAAUAAAAGGAUGCACAAUUCUUACCAUUGGGAAGCCAAAAAAGUAUAAAAAGUAAAAAUAAAGUUGUGUCUUUAUUUAGAAGGAUUUAGAAUCACAACAAUAUUAUGUGUCACAUGCAAAUGGAAAACUCAGUGAGGCACGGUUUUCUGCCCUUGAUACUGGACAUGGUUUAUGGUGUUGUCUCCUUUAAUCUUUCCUUGUGAGAGGAAAAAGAAACAGAGACAUAUAGUUAACAAUAACAUUUAAAACUGCAUGUGUCAUUUGUCCAAACUUACAGUCACAGCACCCAGAAAAUGCAUAGGAUACAGUAAACAAUCAGUGAAGGCUUGCUGAAUAUGGCAGUGGUUUGAAUUGUGUUUGUAUUCACAGUCCUUGAGCCUUUGCUGAAGAGUCUCCAGGCAGUUUUCCACAGUCUGUCUAUACAGCUCUUCACUUGGGCAUUUUUAGUUGGGAGAGUGAGCAUCACAGGACACACUUAUUCACAAGCUAAUUUAUCAAGACCCAAGAGCAGGCUUUUCUAUUUCUACAUGUGACCCAGACAUGUUUGACACAAUUUCAGUGUUCAACAUAAUCACAGAUUUGUACAUUCAAAAGCCACUUCAUUAUGCAAGUUGUAUUAACAUUUGUUAUCCUGCCAAAUAAUUCAUUCAAUAAAUUUAAAUUUAAAAUAUGUCUUAAAUGCUGAUGUUUUACUGAUUAUAAAAUAACAUAUGCUUAUUAUAGGAAGUUGGGAAUAUGCAGAAAAAUCCAAAGAAGGAAACCCUUCACUCUCAGUCCCAGAGUUAACAGAAAACACUUUUCAAAGAUUUGGUGUGAUUUUCUUUUGCCAGUCAUUAAAAGUUCAUUGCUCUGGAAGUAACUGUAAUAAUAACUCCAUUGCUUAUUCACACACAAGGUGAAUUACCUGACCUAAAUGUACCAAAAAAUCUGUGAAGAAAAGGAAUUAGUGUUAAGACAUUUCAUGAGUGAGAUAAACAAGACAAGGAGACUGGGCUGCUUUCUCAAGGUUGCAGUUAGAGCCCUACUGACGCCAUUGAACUCACCCCUCUGGUUUCAAGUGCUGUUAAAUCUAACUUCUCUCUGGUUGAUAAAGGUCUAUUCUGCUUUUACAUGUCCAUCACAAACACUUUAACAAUUAAACAUUCCUCUCCCUAUCCUUCAUUGAUUGAGCCCCUUGAAGACACAGCCUUCCUAGGCCUUGCUCUCUGAUUCCACAUGCUCCUUUAUAACGAUACACUUGUUCUUAGGUUUGUGGUCUCCUUUUGUUGUUUGACAAAAAAAAUAUUUGAAAUAUAAAUUAUUGACAAGACAAGAGUUGCUGAAUAAAACAAAUUGUCCAGCAGGUGACAUUCUGCGUCUCACUCCUAAUGCUGCUUUUGGGGUCCACCACUUUCUUGCCUGCCUCGCGAAUGUCAGUACAGGCUGAGGUGAACCCUUUCCAUGAAUUAUUACUUUCAAAAUCUUAUGGAGGAAAAGGGCUCAGUGCUUUGCAGUUUGAAGGCUGGGGCAGAUUUGUCAGACAUGGUUUGACACUUCGUGAAUCCAUCCGCUGGAUAACAGUAAGACUCAUUUCCCAGCAGCAUCAGUGGUUCUCUCAAGGAGAGGGUGGUUAGGCUUAUUUUCUAUAAGGAAGCCUGCUGCAUUAAAAAGGGAAAUAAAUACUCUGCUUUCGUUUUACUUUUAUUUUCUCUAGAGAAGACAGAAUCACUUCUUUGAGGUGCCCAACUUUGAAAGGUCUGCUGAGGUUGCUAUUAUCAUCGUUUGUUACAGUGGCUUUAAAAAACAAAACAAAAGAUGCCUAUAUUCAGUGUGUCUCUUCAGAACUUAUUUUAUUUUCAACACCCAGUCCUGCUUCUUUGCUGAUCUUUUGCAUGAUGCUGUGCUGGCAUUAGCUUUGCUAUUUAUGAUUUCUACAUUUCCAUUAUGAUGCUCACAUGUUUAUUUUAGUGCAGAAAUAUAUUUCACCAACUCUAAAAACCCAAACCAUUAGAAUAUACAUCUGCCAUUGAAAUCUUGCUGAUUGUAUCCACAAAUGAAAAGAGAAGACCCUUGCUCCCAUUUUAAUCCAUUAAAAUGGAUAGUUCAUUAUCUCUUCUUAGGUCUCCAGGAGGCUGGAUAUCUACUGGGGGGCUGGGGAGGGGGGGUACAGAGCCAUUGUUUACUAUGAUGAACUACUAAAACCUGUCUGCAUUUCAGUUGCAAACCCAGAGGCAUGGCCCUGCCCCAUUUAGGGAAUGUCUUCACAUUGCUUAACUCUGUGUUCCUAUAGGGAAAUGCACACAAUGUUUUUUCUGUAUAAAGCAUAAAGAUGAAAUUCGAAAGCCUGGCUCUGCUACUCAAUACCCAGACUGGAAAGGAGAUCACAUUGAUGCUUUCUACAAGGAACCUUAUUUUUUGUUGCCACAGUCCUCCAAACUGUGACCCUUUUAUCUUUGCCUUCAUAAUAUCUAACACACUUCUCCUGGGGAUGAAUGUUAUGUUACCCUAUUAUUUCCUGCAUUUCUGGUCAUACAUUAAAAACUAAUGUACUUUAUAUUUGUAAUUAUGUAUAAAGUCACAAAUUUCAUUUUUUAUUUGUCCAAUCAUAUUAAGUAAGCAGUUUCCAAAUACAGUAACUUUUACCUAGAGUCAGAUAUUGAUAAUUCUUUAGUUAAUUUGUUAUUAUUUUGGAGUAUUAUGUGUCUGUCUUUGAAGCUGAGAUGUGUUUCUUGUAUGCAAUGGAAGAAUGGAUUCUGUCUUCAUAUCCAUUCUGUUAGCCUGUAUCUUUUUAUAGGCAAGUUAAGAUCAUUGACAUUGAGGGAUAUUAAUGACCAUUGAUUGUUGAUUCUUUUUUGUUUUGGAUUUGUUGGUGGUGGCGUUAUUGUGUGUGUAUUUCCCCACUUUUUUUUUUUUGGUAAAGUGGGAUUUCCCGUGGUUUUUUUGAGUGUAGUUAUAUUUAUUACGUUGGAGUUUUCCUUCCAUUAAUUUCUGUAGGGCUGGAUUUGUGGACAUGUGUUGCUUAAAUCUGGUUUUGUCAUGGAAUAUCUUGGUUUUCCAUCUAUAGUGAUUGAAUGCUUUGCUGGAUAAAGUAGUCUGGGAUGACAUCCAUGUUCCCUUAGAGUUUGUAGAACAUCUAUCCAUAAUCUUCUGGCUUUCAAAGUUUCCAUUGACAAGUCGGGUGUAAUUCAGAUAGGUUUGCCUUUGUAUGUUACUUGGCCUUUUUCUUUUGCUGCUCUUAAUAUUUUUUUUUUAUUCUGUACGUUUGGUGUUUUGAUUAUUAUGUGGUGAGGGGACUUCCUUUUGUCGUCCAAUCUAUUUGGUGUUCUGUAAGCUUCUUGUACUUUCAUAGACAUAUCUUUCUGUAGGUUAGGGAAGUUUUCUUCUAUGAUUUUGUUGAAUCUGUACCGUUGUGCUGAAUUUCUUCACCUUCUUCUAUACCUAUUAUUCUUAGGUUUGGUCUUUUCAUGGUGUCCCAUAUUUCCUGGAUAUUUUGUGUUAGGGAUUUGUUGGACUUGAGAUUUUCUUUGGUCUGUAUAUCCUCUAGUGAGUCUUCAACACCUGAGAUUCUCUCUUCUAUAUCUUGUAUUCUAUUGGUUAUGCUUUCAUCUGUUUACCCAGCUUUUCUAUUUCCAGCAUCCCCUCAUUCUGUGUUUUCUUUAAUGUUUCUAAUUGUGCUUUCAAACCGUGAACUGUUUGAAUUGUUUCCUUCACUUGUUUGGUUGUUUUUUCUUGGUUUUCUUUAGAUUCUUUAAGGGAUUUGUUUAUUUCUUGAAUUUUUGAUUUGUCUUUUCCUCCAUUUCAUGUAAGUUUUUGCUUGUUUUUUCUUCUAUUUCUUUAAGGGAUUUUCUUUUUUUCCUCUUUAAUAGUCUGUAUCAUCUUCAUAAGAUAAUUUUUAAGGUCAGUCUCUUUUUCAUCUUCUGCAUUGGGCUUUUCAGUUCUUGCUUGUGUAGAGUCCCUAGAUUCUGGUGGUGUCAUAUUGGUCUUUCUGUUGUUGAGUGUGUUCUUAUACUGUCAUCUUCCCAUCCCUUCUUCCAGUGGGUGCAGGUGGGGUCUCUCCCUCUCUCAGGUGGCAAGUGGAAGGCUCAGGCAGCAGACUCAGGUGGCAGCUGGAGGGAAGAGGGCAGUGGGUGGACAAGGGUUAGGUGUAUCCGGACUCAGGGUGGGCCUUCCGGUCUGGGAAGUUCCACUGCACUAUUGUUGCGGGGACGGCUCAGGCAGAAGCAAUCAGGGGGUGAUGGGGAGGUUGGGGGUAGAGCAGCUCCCAGACUCACUCAGGUGGCAGGUGGAGGGCAGAAGGCAGAGGGCAGAGGGUGGACAAGGAUGAGGUGUGUCUGUACUCAGGGUGCCCCACCACAUCCCCCAUCAGCUAUUUUCUUUGAUGAUAAAAUGUCUCUAAGGGGUCCUAUUUGCUUAUCCAGAACAAGCCUCCAUUAGAACCACAAAGGUCCAUUUAGUGAGUGAGUAUAGACUUGAACACUUUUGGUGGUCAGGCAAAACACUAUUAUUUUAUUCUAUGAGAUGUUGUGUCCCAACAGGCAUUUGUGUUUGUAAGUGAUGUGGAAAGGAAUGAGUAGCCACUGAGCCAUUUAUCCUGACUAUGUAAGUUAUUAGUUAUUAUGAAAUACCAUAAACAAAAGUUUUCUAACAUCCUUACAUAGCACAAAGAAUGUGAAAUAGUAAUUAUUAUUAUACUUAGUUAGUUAUAAGUUAACUAGAUAAGCUCAGAGUCAUAUCAGUUGGGUCUAGUAAAUACUUGUCUAUCAGUACACCACCUGAGUUUUGAUAAAAUACCAUAAACAACAGUGCAGAAUGCCCAGAGAGGAGACUAACUGUUUAUGCCAGCCAGAAUGAUAAUUCUCAUCAUCCAUAAACUACUAACAGAAAUCUCACAAUAACCACCACCCAUUCAAACUCUACAAAUCAGGCAAAGGAACAGGAACAAUGAAGAGAAUAGUCCAAUCAAUAGAAGGCAACAGAACAUAUCUUAAAAUUGGCAGAGGAUAUAAUAUACUUAUUUUGACUGUAUUUCAUAUAGUAAGAACUAUGAGUCUUUAAAGAAAGAAAUUAAAGAAUAUACCAGAAAAUGGAAAGAUCUCCCAUGCUCCUGGAUAGCUAGAAUCAACAUACUAAAAAUGGCAAUCUUGCCAAAAGCAAUCUACAGAUUAAUGCAAUUCCCACCAAAAUCCCAACACAAUUCUUCACAGACCUUGAAAGAACAGUACUCAACUUCAUGUGAAAAACAAAAAACCCAGGAUAGCCAAAAAAGCCCUAUACAAUAGCAGAACUUCCAGAGGCAUCACUAUCCCUGAAUUCAAGCUCUAUUAUAGAGCUAUAGUCCUGAAAACAGCUUGGCAUUGGUACAAAAGUAGGCAGGUUGAACAAUGGAAUCAAAUUGAAAACCCUUAUAUUAACCCAUAUACCUUAUGAACACCUGAUUUUUGACAAACAACCUAAAUUUGUACAGUGGAAAAAAGAAAACAUCUUCAACAAAUGGUGCUGGCAUAACUGGAUUCAGACAUAUAGAAGAUUGCAGAGUGACCCAUAUCUAUCGUCAGAACUAAACUUAAGUCCAAAUGGAUCAAAGAGCUCAACGUAAAUUCAGCCACACUGAACCUCCUAGAAGAGAAGGUAGGUGGUACCCAUGAACAAAUUAGUACAGGAGACCAUUUUCUGAACAUAACAGCACUAGUUCAAAUAUUGAGAUUGACAAUUAAUAAAUAGGACCUCCUGAAACCAAGAAGCUUCUGUAAAGCAAAGGACACAGUCAGCAAGACGAAAUGCCAGCCUACAGAAUGGGAAAAAUUAUUCACCAACCCCACAUCUGACAGAGGGCUGAUCACCAAAAUAUACAAUGAACUCAAGAAGCUAGCCACCAAAACACUAAACAAUGCAAUGAAAAGAUAAGAGUACAGAAAUAGAGAAUUCUCAACAAAGGAAUCCAAAAUGGCUGAAAAACACUUGAGAAAGUGCUCAACAUACACCCAAAGAAUGCACACUCAUACAAUAAGGACAUAUGUUCAACUAUGUUCAUAGCAGCAUUAUUGUAAUAGCCAGAACCUGGAAACAACCUAGAUGUCCCUCAACUAACGAAUGGAUAGAGAAAAUGUGGUAUAUUUACACAAUUUCCCCACUCUGUGGGGGAAAACAACAACCAAAAAAACAAUGGAAUCUUGAAAUUCGCAGGCAAAUGGAUAGAAGUAGAAGAAACCAUCCUCAGUGAGGUAACCCAAAUCACUAAAAGAUAAACAUGGUAUGUACUCACUCAUUUUUGAUUUUUAGACAUAGAGCAAAGUAUCACAAGCCUACAUUCCACAUUGCCAGAGGAGCUAGGAAACAAGGAGGACCCCAAGAGAAGAUUGCAUAGGCUCUUGAAAAAGGGGAUGGGGACAAGAACCCCUGACCAAACUGGAGCCCGUGGGCAGGGAGAGGAAGGAGAGGCUUCAUCCAGUUGCUGUUUGAAGCAAAAACAGACAACCAUAGCUAGGCACUGAACAAUACUACUGGAAUUCGGUUGUGGAGAGGGAGGAUUGUUGAGCAAACUAGCCAAGACGGUGAUGACGAAACCUACAGAAAUAUUGGACCUGACCUACUGUCAUAAAGCUGGGGAAACAGCAUUGGACCAAACCAAACCCUCUGAAUGUGGGUACCAGCUAGGAGCCCAAGAGAGUCUAUGGUUCCUCUAACAGUGGAGCCAGUCUUUAUCCCUAGGGCACAAAUAGACAUUGGGAGCCCAUUCCCUAUGGAGGGAUACAAUUGCAGCCCAGACACAGCAAGGAGGGUCUAGAUCCUCCCCCAAACAAUAACACAGACUUUGAAUGUCCUUGGUGGAGGGCCUCACUAUCCCUGGGGAGGAUUCGGGGUGUGUAGUAGGGUGGGGUGUGUUGGUUGGGGAACAUGGGAGGAUGGGAGGGUGAGAGAAUGGGGGAGAUGGAUAUGUAAACAUGAGUAAUUAAAAAUAAUUAAAAAUGAAAAAAGAAACCAGCUGAUAAGCUGAGGAGAGAAAGUAAGAAGAUAAUUGGCCAAUGCCCAAAUUCAUCCAUCCUAGACAACACGGAGAUUAUAAGUGGAAGAUGACUUUGUCAUAUACAUAUAAGUUGAAAGAAAGAAAUUGUGCUUAUUCAUCUUUUCUGGAGAUACAUUCUGAAGGAAUGUAGAAGAGUAAUCCUAACCAUAAUGUUUUGCCCAGGUAAGUAUACUACAUUUCAGUGGUCUAGUGGAUACCAUGACCAACCAGUACAUCUUUAUAUCUUACAGGCUCAGGGACUGGAACCUGUCAUAACUGUGAAACUUACACAGCACCGACUGCAAAAUGCUGUCUUUAUUAGUUGAGGUAGCGAGUGGAAGUUACUGGCAUACGGUUUGCAAUUUUGUGACCUAAUUAAAGAACUCACUUUCAGUCUUGCAGUCAACCCCAACUUAAAUUAAGCAUAGUGAGGUGAACAGAAUUCUUCUCUUGGCACAAAAUAUUAAUGUAACCUUUGAUCUCUCUGAUCUCUGGUUAUAUUAUAUCAGCGGCAACAAAAAAAAGAACAUUGUAGCUGUAAUGGUUACUUGUUGGGCCUGAGAUGCCUAGAUCAUGCUGCCCAUAUCUGGAAAUAGUUACUUCCAUGGUGGUUGGAACAGAUUUGUAAAUACAUGUUGUCAGUUAGAGAUCCUCAAAAAUAUUGGCAAGAGGGAAUACUGACAGAUCAAAACAAGGCCCGUGGGGUCUUGGGGCUUUGCAUACAGGCAUCAAUAAAAAUUUAUUUACCACCUUUAUAAAGUACUUUGGCAUGACUGGUGGCAGUAGUCAAGUAUUAAUCUAUACAAUUCAAUUAUAUAAUGAGGUAAUUUAAUAAAUUAGAAAAGUCUUAGGGAGCCCUGCUUUGAAUAAGGCACUGUAGUACUUUCCACACAGGAUUAAUGAGUUAAUUCAUGGCCUAUCCAAAAAAUAAUGUGUAUAGUUUUGCAGAAGGAACUUGAAGAGUACAAAAAUCCAGAGUGUAAGGCAGAGAACAAAACUGUAUUUUUUAUUAGUGUUGCAUAUAGAUAGGUAGUCAGUUAGUGCUUGUUUUUCAGCAGAUAAUAUAAGAAAUAGACAGUGCUAAAGAGCUUGUAGCUCCUUCUGUUUACCUGAUUCAGAAUUGCCUUAAUAGGAGGUGACAUCAAGCCCAUGCUUAAAUAGCAGACAGUAGUUUAAACAGGUAGGAGAGCAUUUUAGAAACUGAAACCAAGAAGUGGAAAAGUGUGGCAAUGUUUUUAGGUUGGAUGGAUUACUAUGGGAGCCACUGAAGAGAAGCCUAGAAAGUUCAGGGACGGUGUGGAUUUUAUUGACUAUUAAAGGCAAUAAGGAAUCAUCCAGGGUUUUAAAGGAGAGAAAUAAAGGAUUAUCAGUCUUUGCAUUAUUUCGCUAGUCCAAAUGAUUUUUCCAUUUAACAUUGACCAUAGCCUUUCCAGACCAAAUAAAAAGCUGGAGUACUUUGCAAAUGCAACACCUUUCUCCCUAAGCCAGGAGGGGCACAGUACUGAUUACCUUCCAUUUCCAACGACCUACAUGUCAUUCACUUUGCAUUUCUUUUAUUUUUUAUUAAAUUUAAGUUUUUAAAUUUUAUUUUACAAUUCAACCAAACCAAAGUUCUCCCUCCCAUCCCUCCUCCCCCCCAUUACCUCCCCCCCCCGCUACACCCCCUCACCUACUCCUCCCAACAGGUAAGUACUCCCAUGGGGAGUAGACAAAUUCUGGCACAUUAAGUUGGGGCAGGACUAAGCCCGUCUCCCACGCAUGAAGGCUGAGUAUGGCAACCCCUCAUAGGGAAUGGGUGUCAACAAGCUAGCUCAUUCACCAGGGAUAGCCCCUGGUCCUACUGCCAGGGUCCCUUCAGAUAAACCAAGCUUCACAAUUGUCUCCUGCCUAUGAAGGGCCUAGUUUCCUAUGGGAAGUAUUUUCCUAAUGAUGAAAAAAUAUUUUAAGCUUGAAGGAAUAUGAAGGAAGAUUGGAAGCUUAAUAACAUAUUAACAUGGGUACCCAAGUUAUUUUGUUUUUAAAAUAAUUUUAAUUACUUUUAAAUUUAAAAAUAUUUUAAAAAUCAAAUGUUUCAUUAUUUUGAUGUGGCUAAUUAUCUUGGUACAACAGACAUAUGGAACAGAAAACAAGGUACUGGGUAUGAAGUUUAAUUUUUGCUGUGUGGUUAACUUGAAUGGACAAAGCACUGAGGUUUUUUUGUUUUUUCUUUAGCAACACAGAUACACACACACACACACACACACACACACACACACACACACACACACACACACACACACCUGAUAAAGGAUGAAAGUAGAAAUAAAGUAUUAUUUCAAAGAAGAAAGGAAGGUAGAAGGGAGGGAGGUAGGAAGAGAGGGAGGGAAGAAAGGAGGAAAGCCCUGAAGGUGAAACCUACUUUUAUUUAAUCAUGUGUGCUAUAAAACUGACUAGAAAGAAGACAAGGUUAAAAGCCAUUGAAACUAAGGCUGGGGAGGGACCAGAGAGAAGAGCAUUCAAAAUGUACAGUUAAUAUGGAAACCAGUGUGUUUGCUGAAGAAACACAGCUCCAUGAUCAGUUGCUUGGGUCUUUUCUCCAUCAAAAUAACUCUUCUUAGAAUCUCUGGUAUAAAAUUUUUAGCUUUCAUUGUCUGACACACAAUACCCUCCAAUAAUCUAUUAUAUUGCACCACAAAAAGGUAUUAUUUUAGUAAGCUGAGUGGUUCAGCAGUUGAAAUUGCAUGGGAUUCAACCUCCUCCUCCUACGGUUCCAACAGAGAUGUGCAGAAGAGGCAUUCCAGAGCAGUGUAUGCUCCUGCUUCUCUAACUUCUGCCAGGUCUGACACCCUGACAAACUGGGUGGAUUAGUGAGGGAUUGUAAGAAACUGUUCCUGAAGAGAAGAACAUGCACCCAAGUUGCAAUGGUUUUCAGAAGUGGUUCUAUCUGUUACCCAUUCCAACCCCAUCGAUUUUUGUCCCAGGCUUCACAUGGUCUGAUUAGUGGAAUGUGUGGUAAGGGUGGAAAUUCCUAAAGGAUAGCUCAACUACAGAAGUAGCAUAUUCCUAUACCUGGAAAGCAUCAUUCUAGCUGAAAAGUCUUGGGAGAAUUGCUAUUUGAAAGGAAAAGAAAGGAAAAAUCUCUCCAUGAAAAAACUGAAUGAGCAACCAGCACCAUGUCUGGGAGCAUCAAGUAUCUGACCAUCUACACCCUGGUUGAGCUGCUAGAGAUCUUCUAUGUGCUCCAAGAGUAUCCUUUCCCCUCCUUUUUUUAAAUUUAGAGAUAGUCUUAUUUUACAUAUCAAUCCCCCCAUUCCCUCUCACUCCUAUCCUCCCAUGCCCCUUACCAACCCCUAUCCCUCUCCAAGGAUGGUGAGGCCUUCCAUGGGAGAUCAUCAAAGUCUGUCACAUCAUUUGGGGGAGGGCCUAGACCCAGCUGCUUGUAUCUGGGCUGAAUUAGUAGCCCUCCAUAGGGAAUGGGCUCCCAAGUAACUUUCAGUGAGUUUCUGAUAUCCCCUGUAGUCCAGGGUGGUACAAUACUGUCUGAUUUUCAGGAUAACUCACCCUGCCUUUGCUCUUACUCAUCUCUGUUUUAGAACCUUUAUCUGCUUUUGUCAAGAAUACUUACAAAGUACCAGAUGCCUUCUUUUUUGCUUUUCCAACAAACCCCACUGUUCCCCAAGAUCGUUUGCAAUCAGUGAAUCUUGUUGAACCGCUAUGCUAAGAGUUAAUCAAUCAAAAGUACAUUUUCUCCUUCUUGGAGAAAAGAAUAUUUAAUUCUGAACUUAAACACAGUGGUCAAGGAAGGAGGUAAAAGGUAAAUCAAACCAGUCUUGCCACUGGUGACCUGUCACAAUAUGAUAAUGGCCUCAAAAUGGUCACAGUAUUAUUGUUUUCUUACAAUAUGAUAAAGGGUACAUUGGAGUGGGUUUUUGUUUCUUUUAGUGUACAUGAGAAAUGAAUGACUAGGAGAGUUUUUUGUGAAGGUUUACUAAACUUUGCAAAGAACACAAAGAAAAUGAAAUCUUCCUUGUGUUAAAUUCAUUUAUCAUAUAAAACUUGGAAUGGUUCUUAUCUGCAUAUUAAAGAGUUUUGUCAUUCUUUUUGUUUCUUUUGUCUGAUUGGCUACUAGAUGAUGUCUUCUAGAAUAAAUGGAAAAAUUUUAAAUUACAGUACUUAAAAAAAUUGCCAGGUACUUUUGUAGCAAAACUGACAAAACAGAGACCAUUAUAUAAGCAGUGGGGGUGUAGGCUACAAGGGCUGAGAGAAAAAUUGUUUCUAUCCACUGCCCUAAAUUUAAACAGACCUACCAGUAUGUGUUUCCUUAGAGAGGGAAGAAUAUAACAUGGUACUGAUGAAUAUUUUCUGGAUUCAAAACAAGGCAGGAUUUUGAUGAAGAGAGAGAAUGCCUGGUCUGCACAUUAUGAGGAAUGGAGAUUUACAUUGUUUACUGUUUGUUGUCUGAGGAAAGGGGAGAUUUGAUGGCUGCUAUUAUUGUGGAAAGGAUGGUGGCCUCCACUCUUUGCUACUCUUUCUUUGACUCACUGUUUUCUCUAAAAUGCACACAUGCAUGUCAAUAGGCAUCUGCUGUAGCCCUCUCACACAAGGAGGAUUCAUGACUAUUAUGACCUGUAUAGUUGUGUCCACAUCAAAAUGCAUACAUUGAAAUAGAAUCUCCAGUAUAAUUGUGUUUAGGGAUGGUACAUAUCAAUGGGAUUUAGUUUAUGAAAAUGGAGAAGUCCUGAACAGGAUCUGUGCCUUCUAAGAAGUCAUAGUGCAAGCUUGGGCUCUUUCUAAAGUAGAUGAGGACUCACUUGUCCAGAACCUUUCCACUCUGCAUCCCGAUUGUGUGUUUGGGUUGCAGUCAUCCAGUAAUAAUUUACACACACACACACACACACACACACACACACACACACACACACACACGGGGUAGGGGAAGACAGAGAGAGGGAGGGAGAGUUUGUUCUAAUGGUCUUACAACAAUCUAUAACAGCAGGGCAGUUUGGGGGUGUCAACCAUCCAGUGUGUAUUAUGUGCAAAUGUGAUCCAUUCUAACUCACCCAGAGUGAUCCUCAGUAUACCUGGCCCAUGUCAGAACAUCUGAUCACUGCACAAAAAUGAUCAGGAAAUCAUUUCAACAUCUGUGAGCAGUCAUUUGCCCCAUUGCGGGGGUAGUUAGACCCUGAAGGCAAACUUUUUCAGUGACUCAAAGUUGGAAUUCUUGCUUUGACUGUGGCUCCUGCAUUUGUUUUGUUUCUUGAAUAAUUAUGCCCUAGGAAGAAGGGAAGAAAGGGGAGUUAGAGAAUUUGAGGCUUUCUCUGGGAAGAUGGAACUGGAGAAGGAAAGAAUGCCAGUAGUACCUGGAACUGAACACUCCCCACCAAGCCCAGUGCAGCUACUGUGACCAACCAGCUUUCUAGCUGAGGCUCUCUCCAUAGCAGAAGAAGCCUGCUAUGGGAGCAGACACCAUGUAAUCCAGAUGUGGAUCACUACACAAAGGCACCAGAGAAAGUUUUAAGAGCCAGGGAGAGAGAUGCAGACAAAGGAUUGGAAAAUCUUUCAAUAUACUCAGUCUCAGCUCAAGUAUUUCAAAAUGCCAGAUUCUCUACCGGCAUUUACAGUGAAAAUCCAGCAGCAGACCACACUGCCUGACUCUAGAUCCAUGUGGACAUGCUCAGUGUAAUCAAGAAGAGGGUUUGGCAUCUGCAAUCUGACAGCUUUCAUCUUUUGCAGAAGCUGUGUUUGAAAAUCUUGUGAUAUAUGCCCUUUCCUCACAUCUAAACACACAGCAUAGCUUCUCGUCUAUGAAGUGUUUCCAUGUUGGAAUUUCAACAGUCAAGAAGAGAAAUGCCAGGAGAAUUGUUUGUGACAACAAGAUGAUAUGCAAAAUAGUUUUGGAUAUCAGUUCCCUUGGAACGUCUCAAAUGUGAAAGCUUAUUUGUUUGGAAGAGAGGAAUUCUCUUUAGCAGCAAAGAGAGUAACAAAACAGCCAAGGUGGAGUGAACAUGAUUAAAAAGAAAUAGAGUCAGGGAAACAGCAUUAUAUUACAUUUUCCUCUAAAUCUAAGCUACUAUAUCUGUAUAUGAGCAGAGAACAGAAAAGCUGGUAUGCAGAAAGCAGGCGUCCAUCCUAAUAUCCCAACACACUGGAUGUAAGAAAGCACCAGCUACAUGCCAUAAGAUCUAAUUACCACGAAUUGCCUUUCCUGCCCCACAGCAAUCAUUUUGAUGACAGGCUUCUCUGCACUGUAAAACAAAAUGGGAAACCUGUGCUGUAUAAACCACCUCAUGCUUCUUUUCUUCCUCUGCUAUCGGCCUCCCUAUCUCAUUUAUUUUCCACACAUUAAUGGUAGCAGUCACCUUGAGCUGGUGAUGCAGAGUAAUUUUCACAGAAACCUUGAUCAGAAACCAUAAAUCAGUCUGAUGUGCUUUUAUGGUCUAAUAACAUUCCGUUUGCUCCUACAGGUCUGUAUGUAAAACUGCAUUGCAGUGAGUCCUCUGGAUUUUCUUUUUCUUUUUUUGUGUAGCUCAUUCUUGCUCUCAGGCACUUACUCACUCUCCCUCCCUUCAUUCUCCUUCUCCCUCUCAGCCUCUCUAACAUGAUUUCUAGGCACACAUAAGCGCAUACCCAUCAUCAUUGGUAUAGUUCGUGUGUUACAAAACAGCAUUUAACUGCCAUUGUAUACAUGCCAAGGUAGCGGGGAUGCAUACACUUUCAGAAGGGGAAAACGAUGUGUGUUAGAUAACAAUGAAGUAUCUCUGACCGCAGUAGUGAAUGCAUCAGUUGUCCAGGCUGUGCUAUGUCUUGGUCGACUUCAGAAUGAGGUUUGCAUGUGUAUGAUUGUGUUCUGCUGUAUACUGAUUGCCAGAGGCUUGCACUCUUCCCUCAGUCCAGCAGAAAGAGUAUGAUGUGGAGUGGAAUGUAGGCUAGUGGGAUAUCUGGAAGAAGAUCUGUGAUCUCAAGGCAAAGGAGGCAUGAGUUUGAAGUAAAUGCAGUAGGAUAAAGGCAGCAGUGCAAAGGUUGCUAUCUGUUGAAGGUGAGGUCCUGAGCCUGUUAUUCAGUUGCAUCAAUGGCAGGACUGAUAAGCAAGCAUCAGCAUGCCAUCAGGCUACUGUGAAGUAUGUGCAAGUUAGCCAUAGUGAUCACCUACCUUAGCCUGCAGCAUAAUCUGAACAUAUCUGUGUACUUGGCUCAAGGACCAGGAGGAAAAGGCAAACCAGGUAAAAACCAAUCUCCACCAUCUCACCUACUUAUGUGUGUGCUACCUAAAAGUCCUCUGGGUAGGUACAAUGUAAUGGGUAGCCGUUUCCCUUUUAGACAGAAGAAAGAACACUUAUAUCUGUGUUUUCCACAGGAUGGAAACAUCUACAAGUGAAAAAUCAUUCCUGCAUUGCAGUUUGGUGAAUCAGUGCAGGAAAUGAACAAAGACCCUCUGACUCAGGCUGGGAGAGUCAAGCUUUGCUUUGGAAGGGAGGAAAGCUGGCAACAAGCUCUGAUUUUUUUCACUGCUAAUGUAUCGAGUGAUAAUUACUCCCCAGUAGACCUCCAUAAAUUCCAACAUUCUUAACCGGUGCUUCAUGAAUAUACGAAAGGGCUGAAAUGUACCCAGGUGUAUUAAUCAAAAUUUCUAGGACACUCUUCCUUACUUGGUAGUAAGAUACAUCUCCAAUUAUUUAUACCUAUAUCUAUUUUCAUAUCUGCAGGCAUUGCCCUUGUGCAUGUGAGUAGAGUCUUGUAUUGGAUGCUGGCAUAGCAAGCAAUCAUAAGGACAUUCAAAAUGUCAAUGAAAGGAUAACUGUAGAAUGUGGAUGUCAGCUUCAUCUGUAGGGCUCUUUGUUUCCAACUGUAAGUCACAUCAAUCCCCUUGCCUCACAUGCAAUAGUAUUCAAGUUAGGCAGCAGGGCUGUGUUCCUUUUUGUUUAAAUUUAUUUCCUUUAGCAAGAAAAUAUUUUUUCUCCCAUCAUAUCACAGAGUCCUGUCACCAUUGCUGCACCCUGAGUCCUCAGUAACAGUUCAGCACUGAAUUUUCAGAAACUGACAGGCAAUUUCUCCUUUUGCAACAGCUGGGGCUUUUCAGUGCUGCAGUAGCAAAGGCUAAAUGUGAAAAGGAAAUGGGGGUGAACACAAGUCCUUUCUCUCCAGUGUCCACUGCCCUUGGAUUCACAGCCCAGCAUUUGCUGUCUGUGUAGGAACUAUUUCUAAACCCUCAUAGCUGGAGGCAAUGUACACCAGACCAGUGGGGUGGGAGUAAUAAAGGAGAGAUUCAGUAAAGAACAAAUUCUUUUCAGAUUAGCUGAUUGGCAGCUGUGAGUAACUCGGCUCUGGCAGCAAGGCUGGAAAGAGCAGCCUCAACCUUGGUGCUCAUUAUUUAGCUGUAAGCCUUUCCUGCCAGGAACAUUUUUCUCUUUCAAUUCCUAAACUACUUUAACUCCUUAUGAUCCAAUCCUUCAUCAAAAAGAGUGAACUAAAAAGACCUUUAUUGGAACCCCUAGGUUGUAGAUGAGAAUUGACUGCAAGAUACAACUUCCUUUACCAACAAUUCUAAUCAGAGCUGAUAUUAUGUUAGGAAAGUCUGAAUUAACACUAGGUAUAUAAUACUCAUUCUGUGUCAGAUCUGAUAGAUGUCUUGAGGAAAAAAAAGAAGAAAUUAGUAUCAUAUGUAGGUUUUAUAUAUGACUACAUAAAGAAUUUAACCUACUAAGAACAAGAGGGAACAUGAAGUAAUAAUUUACUGAUUCUAAAGGUAUCUCUUCUUGGCAGUCAGGACAAUGCAAUCAACAGAGGUAAUGUUCUUAAAGCCUCCUGAUCUAAACGUAAAAACGUCAUCAGAGCUAACAGGAGGCCACUUUGACUCUGAACUGCUGUAAGAGAAACAUAAGCAAAACUAACCUUUAAAGCCACAGUCUUAUGAUUUAAUCAAAAUAUGUUUAUGUACAUUCAAUUAUGACAUCUAACUGACAGAAAAAGGACUUGUAAAAAUCAUUUGUCUCUCUACGUAUAUCUCUUGGGUGUAUAUUGAUGUAUUUCUACAGAUAUUUAUAAAGAACUUGUUUUUUCCAUGAAGCUCAAAAAUUACAUUAUAAUUUAAAAAUAUUGAUGCCAUUUUUUCUUACUAUAAGAUCAAUAAAUGUUUAAAUAAAGCAUUGAAUAAGGAUAUAAUUUGUCUAAAAGCUGCUUUGUUGGAUCUUGUGGUUAUAAAAAUCGUGGGUACCUAUCUUCAAUUAUCUUGGCAAUAGUGUUUAGAGGGAGGAAUUAAUGGAUCUUUGGAGACAAAACCAGGUCUAUGGUUUAUUCUUUCUUGUAGUGCAAAAUAUGAAUCUAAAAGCAGGAGCCUAGGUCACUCAUCUUCUUGCUCAGCCUUGUGGAGGAUGUGAUUUCACUUUUCUGAUUGAUACACAUUUUUUCUAUAUGUAGAGAUAAAAAAUAGGUUAUGGGUUAUUAAUAGCUGGGACAACAUAACAUUCAUUCUUAAAGUGUGAUGUUUUUCCUAAAUUAUAUAAUAAAAUAACACAUCUAAGCAUUUUUAUUCAAAAAAGACAGGAAUAAUACAAGACUUUUUCAAAAUGACUAACAUUUAGUCUUAUCAGGCUCCUUUCUGAUGCAGUUGCUAGGAGAUUAAAAGAUCAUUUUGUAGGCUAAUGUGCAAAUAUCAGAGGUUAUGUCUGAUCUUUAAUAUAGCUAAAAUAUGUGGCUUUUCUAAGGCUCAAAAGCCUAUCAAUGAAUUAUUAUUGAACACUUGGCAUUUAAUAAUUUCACAUGGUUUUUCAUUUCUCACUUUUUGAAUGAUAUGAGAGACAUGUGGCAAUUGAACCCAAGUCCAUCUUUAUGAAAGUCACUUCUGGGUCUUCAGUAACUACAGCUGUUUCUGUAAUUUCAUAGCGCAUAUAUGUAGAAUCGUUUCAUUCUGGAAGUUGAAUGGCAGGGUGCCCUCUCAGUUCCUCACUUCAGUGAAGUUCUAUUAACUACCCUUACACUGUAAUCCCAUGGCCAAACUAACAAUUCAAGUCUCAAGUCUUUCCUCACUCUCCUAUCUGCGUUUUGGUGGCAGUGGUUGUCUUCCAUCCUAUCAUCUACUACAGUGAUUCUCAACCUUCCAAAUGCUGCAACCUUUAUCACAUUUCUCCAUGUUGUGGUGACUCCAGCUAAAAACUAUUUUUGUUCCUAUUUCAUAACUGCACAGGAAAAGAAGCAAAGCAUGGCGCAUGUCAUAAGUCUCAGGCCUGUGGACAGUCAGGUCUAACCAUGUUCAGUGAUGCUCCAAAGCCCUGAGCUUUUGCCCUUCUUAUAUUUAGAUUCCAUUUAUUGUAUUUGUUCCUUCUGACUAGUCUAAAGAUGGAAACUCUAUUUUAUUCAUCUUUGUUUCUCUGAGUCGGGUAGCAUAGUGUAUUAUAACAGGCUGGGGC
rnacentral:lncRNA from 1 species